GACAGAGGGUGCAAACGUUGUUCGGAAUUACUGGGCGUAAAGCGUGCGCAGGCGGUUCGUUAUGUCCGAUGUGAAAGCCCCGAGCUCAACUUGGGAAUGGCAUUGGAAACUGGCGGGCUGGAGUGUGGCAGAGGGGGGUGGAAUUCCACGUGUAGCAGUGAAAUGCGUAGAGAUGUGGAGGAACACCGAUGGCGAAGGCAGCCCCCUGGGCCAACACUGACGCCUCAGGCACGAAAGCGUGGGGAGCAAACAGG
rnacentral:rRNA from 1 species